AGAGUUUGAUCCUGGCUCAGGAUUAACGCUGGCGGCGUGCAUGAAACAUGCAAGUCGAGCGCGGUGUGAUGAGGGGUAACCCAAUUCACAUCUAGCGGCGAACGGGUGAGUAACACGUGAGCAACCUACCUUUGAGUUGGGGAUAGCCCUGGGAAACCAGGAUUAAUACCCGAUGUGGUCACAACAGGACAUCCUGAUGUGAGUAAAGGCGUAAGCCGCUCAAUGACGGGCUCGCGGCCUAUUAGCUUGUUGGUGGGGUAACGGCCUACCAAGGCGAUGAUGGGUAGCUGGUCUGAGAGGACGAUCAGCCACACUGGGACUGAGACACGGCCCAGACUCCUACGGGAGGCAGCAGUUAGGAAUUUUCCGCAAUGGGCGAAAGCCUGACGGAGCAACGCCGCGUGAGUGAUGAAGACCUUCGGGUUGUAAAGCUCU
rnacentral:rRNA from 1 species